rnacentral:rRNA from 1 species
GGCGAACGCUGGCGGCGCGCCUAACACAUGCAAGUCGAACGAGCGAGAGAGAGCUUGCUUUCUCAAGCGAGUGGCGAACGGGUGAGUAACGCGUGAGGAACCUGCCUCAAAGAGGGGGACAACAGUUGGAAACGACUGCUAAUACCGCAUAAGCCCACGACCCGGCAUCGGGUAGAGGGAAAAGGAGCAAUCCGCUUUGAGAUGGCCUCGCGUCCGAUUAGCUAGUUGGUGAGGUAACGGCCCACCAAGGCGACGAUCGGUAGCCGGACUGAGAGGUUGAACGGCCACAUUGGGACUGAGACACGGCCCAGACUCCUACGGGAAGCAGCAGUGGGGAAUAUUGCACAAUGGGGGAAACCCUGAUGCAGCGACGCCGCGUGGAGGAAGAAGGUCUUCGGAUUGUAAACUCCUGUUGUUGAGGAAGAUAAUGACGGUACUCAACAAGGAAGUGACGGCUAACUACGUG